AAGGCCGAUGGCGACCGGCGCACGGGUGAGUAACACGUAUCCAACCUGCCGUCUACUCUUGGACAGCCUUCUGAAAGGAAGAUUAAUACAAGAUGGCAUCAUGAGUCCGCAUGUUCACAUGAUUAAAGGUAUUCCGGUAGACGAUGGGGAUGCGUUCCAUUAGAUAGUAGGCGGGGUAACGGCCCACCUAGUCUUCGAUGGAUAGGGGUUCUGAGAGGAAGGUCCCCCACAUUGGAACUGAGACACGGUCCAAACUCCUACGGGAGGCAGCAGUGAGGAAUAUUGGUCAAUGGGCGAGAGCCUGAACCAGCCAAGUAGCGUGAAGGAUGACUGCCCUAUGGGUUGUAAACUUCUUUUAUAAAGGAAUAAAGUCGGGUAUGGAUACCCGUUUGCAUGUACUUUAUGAAUAAGGAUCGGCUAACUCCGUGCCAGCAGCCGCGGUAAUACGGAGGAUCCGAGCGUUAUCCGGAUUUAUUGGGUUUAAAGGGAGCGUAGAUGGAUGUUUAAGUCAGUUGUGAAAGUUUGCGGCUCAACCGUAAAAUUGCAGUUGAUACUGGAUAUCUUGAGUGCAGUUGAGGCAGGCGGAAUUCGUGGUGUAGCGGUGAAAUGCUUAGAUAUCACGAAGAACUCCGAUUGCGAAGGCAGCCUGUAAGCUGCAACUGACAUUGAGGCUCGAAAGUGUGGGUAUCAAACAGGAUUAGAUACCCUGGUAGUCCACACGGUAAACGAUGAAUACUCGCUGUUUGCGAUAUACAGCAAGCGGCCAAGCGAAAGCGUUAAGUAUUCCACCUGGGGAGUACGCCGGCAACGGUGAAACUCAAAGGAAUUGACGGGGGCCCGCACAAGCGGAGGAACAUGUGGUUUAAUUCGAUGAUACGCGAGGAACCUUACCCGGGCUUAAAUUGCAGAUGAAUUACGGUGAAAGCCGUAAGCCGCAAGGCAUCUGUGAAGGUGCUGCAUGGUUGUCGUCAGCUCGUGCCGUGAGGUGUCGGCUUAAGUGCCAUAACGAGCGCAACCCUUGUUGUCAGUUACUAACAGGUUCCGCUGAGGACUCUGACAAGACUGCCAUCGUAAGAUGUGAGGAAGGUGGGGAUGACGUCAAAUCAGCACGGCCCUUACGUCCGGGGCUACACACGUGUUACAAUGGGGGGUACAGAGGGCCGCUACCACGCGAGUGGAUGCCAAUCCCAAAAACCUCUCUCAGUUCGGACUGGAGUCUGCAACCCGACUCCACGAAGCUGGAUUCGCUAGUAAUCGCGCAUCAGCCACGGCGCGCGUGAAUACGUUCCCGGGCCUUGUACACACCGCCCGUCAAGACCAUGGGA
rnacentral:rRNA from 1 species